rnacentral:rRNA from 1 species
ACUCUUGACCUCGGAUCAGGUAGGGAUACCCGCUGAACUUAAG